AGCACCCAUCCACUCACCUCCUGAGGUGCUGAAGGACCCUGUGCUGCCUGUGACCUCGCUCCUGAACACCCGCCCCCGAGAUGUCCUGCCAGCAGAGCCAGCAGCAGUGCCAGCCUCCUCCCAAGUGCCCUCCCAAGUGCCCCACCCCUAAGUGCCCCCCAAAGUGCCCCCCUAAGUGCCCUCCAGUGUCUUCCUGCUGCAGUGUCAGCUCUGGGGGCUGCUGUGGCUCCAGCUCUGGGGGCUGCUGCAGUUCCGGGGGAGGUGGCUGCUGCCUGAGCCACCACAGGCGCCGCAGGUCCCACCGCCACAGACCCCAGAGCUCUGACUGCUGCAGCCAGCCCUCGGGGGGCUCCAGCUGCUGCGGAGGGGGCUCCAGCUGCUGUGGAGGGGGCUCCAGCUGCUGCGGAGGGGGCAGCGGCCAGCACUCUGGAGGCUGCUGCUGAAGUGGACCCUGCACCUAGAAGAGGAGAUGUGGGUGGAAGGAGUGAUCAGAUAGAUAUUUCCUCCUCAUCUUUCUCCUCCUGGGCCUGCAUGAGUGGCUGAGAUGCCCUGGUGAAGGCUCUGAGCUCUGGCCUGGAGGAUCCCUCUGCCCCAGGGAUCCAGAAGUUUGAUUCUUCUCCCACAGACCUAUCUGCUGCCCCGACACCAACUGUGUUGUCUACUAUGGGAUCCCAAACCGCAGACUCAAAUUCACCCACCAGCUCAUUUCCCAUUUCCUGCAGCCUCAAGUGAAACAAUAAAGCAAUAGAUCUUCUUGCCAUUUA